rnacentral:rRNA from 1 species
AAUAAACGUUGGCGGCGUGCCUAACACAUGCAAGUCGAGCGAGAAAGUUCCUUCGGGAGCGAGUACAGCGGCGGACGGGUGAGUAACACGUGGGAAUUUACCUUUAGUGAAGAAUACUCUCGAGAAAUCGAGGUUAAUGCUGCAUACGUCCCUUCGGGGAGAAAGAUGGCCUCUUUGCUGUCGCUAAAAGAUGAGCCUGCGGACUAUUAGCUAGUUGGUAGGUAAAGCCUACCAAGGCGAUGAUGGAUAGCCGGCCUGAGAGGGUNUUCGGCCACAUUGGGACUGAGACACGGCCCAGACUCC